rnacentral:rRNA from 1 species
UUCGCAAUGCCCGAAAGGGUGACGAAGCGACGCCGCGUGUGGGAUGAGGGCCCUCGGGUUGUAAACCACUGUCGGGAGUUAAGAAUUGUAGGAAUGCUAAUAGUAUUUCUACUUGACUAAGGCUCCGGAGGAAGCCACGGCUAACUCUGUGCCAGCAGCCGCGGUAAUACAGAGGCGGCAAGCGUUGUUCGGAAUUAUUGGGCGUAAAGAGCAUGUAGGCGGCUAUGUAAGUCGGUUGUGAAAGCCUUCCGCUUAACGGAAGAAUGGCGGUCGAAACUGCAUGGCUUGAGUGCGGGAGGGGAGAGUGGAACUUCUGGUGGAGCGGUGAAAUGCGUAGAUAUCAGAAGGAACGUCGGCGGCGAAAGCGACUCUCUAGACCGUAACUGACGCUGAGUGUGCGAAAGCUAGGGGAGCAAACGGGAUUAGAUACCCCGGUAGUCCUAGCCGUAAACGAUGGGCACUAAGUAGAGGGGUUUU